rnacentral:rRNA from 1 species
GUGCAGCAGUCGCGAAUUUUUGACAAUGGGGGAAACCCUGAUCGAGCGACGCCGCGUGGAGGAUGAAGGUCUUCGGAUUGUAAACUCCUGUCAUUGGGGAACAAGGGUGCAUACGUUAACUGCGUGUGUAUUGAUAGUACCCGAAGAGGAAGGGACGGCUAACUCUGUGCCAGCAGCCGCGGUAAUACAGAGGUCCCAAGCGUUGUUCGGAUUCAUUGGGCGUAAAGGGUGCGUAGGCGGCGCGGUAAGUCGGGUGUGAAAUCUCGGAGCUUAACUCCGAAACUGCAUUCGAUACUGCCGUGCUUGAGGACUGGAGAGGAGACUGGAAUUUACGGUGUAGCGGUGAAAUGCGUAGAUAUCGUAAGGAAGACCAGGUGGACGAAGGCGGGUCUCUGGACAGUUCCUGACGCUGAGGCACGAAGGCCAGGGGAGC